AGUGAACGCUGGCGGUAGGCCUAACACAUGCAAGUCGAACGGCGGCACAGUAAGAGCUUGCUCUUACGGGUGGCGAGUGGCGGACGGGUGAGGAAUACAUCGGAAUCUACUUUUUCGUGGGGGAUAACGUAGGGAAACUUACGCUAAUACCGCAUACGACCUACGGGUGAAAGCUGGGGAUCUUCGGACCUUGCGCGAUUGAAUGAGCCGAUGUCGGAUUAGCUAGUUGGCGGGGUAAAGGCCCACCAAGGCGACGAUCCGUAGCUGGUCUGAGAGGAUGAUCAGCCACACUGGAACUGAGACACGGUCCAGACUCCUACGGGAGGCAGCAGUGGGGAAUAUUGGACAAUGGGCGCAAGCCUGAUCCAGCCAUACCGCGUGGGUGAAGAAGGCCUUCGGGUUGUAAAGCCCUUUUGUUGGGAAAGAAAAGCAGCAGGUUAAUACCCCGCUGUUCUGACGGUACCCAAAGAAUAAGCACCGGCUAACUUCGUG
rnacentral:rRNA from 1 species